rnacentral:rRNA from 1 species
GACGAACGCUGGCGGCGUGCUUAACACAUGCAGGUCGAGCGGUAAGGCCCUUUCGGGGGUACACGAGCGGCGAACGGGUGAGUAACACGUGGGUGACCUGCCCUCAGCUCUGGGAUAAGCCUGGGAAACCGGGUCUAAUACCGGAUAUGACUCCAUGACGCAUGUUGUGGGGUGGAAAGCCUUGUGCGGCUGAGGAUGGGCCCGCGGCCUAUCAGCUUGUUGGUGGGGUGAUGGCCUACCAAGGCGACGACGGGUAGCCGGCCUGAGAGGGCGACCGGCCACACUGGGACUGAGACACGGCCCAGACUCCUACGGGAGGCAGCAGUGGGGAAUCUUGCGCAAUGGGCGAAAGCCUGACGCAGCGACGCCGCGUGAGGGAUGACGGCCU